rnacentral:rRNA from 1 species
UUUGAGUGAACUGUGGUUAAGGAAUUCGGCAAAAUACCUCCGUAACUUCGGGAGAAGGAGGACCAUCUGCUGUGAAGCUCUUGACGGGCUAGCGGUGGGUGGUCGCAGAGACCAGGCCCAAGCGACUGUUUACUAAAAACACAGGUCCGUGCGAAGUCGUAAGACGAUGUAUACGGACUGACGCCUGCCCGGUGCUGGAACGUUAAGAGGACCUGUUAGUCCCUUCGGGGGCGAAGCGGAGAAUUUAAGCGCCAGUAAACGGCGGUGGUAACUAUAACCAUCCUAAGGUAGCGAAAUUCCUUGUCGGGUAAGUUCCGACCUGCACGAAUGGCGUAACGACUUGGGCACUGUCUCGACCACAGACUCGGCGAAAUUGCACUACGAGUAAAGAUGCUCGUUACGCGCGGCAGGACGGAAAGACCCCGGGACCUUUACUAUAGCUUGGUAUUGGUGUUCGGUUCGGCUUGUGUAGGAUAGGUGGGAGACUGUGAAGCGGCCACGCCAGUGGUUGUGGAGUCAUUGUUGAAAUACCACUCUGGUCGAACUGGAUGUCUUAACCUCGGGCCAUGAUCUGGUCCAGGGACAGUGCCUGGUGGGUAGUUUAACUGGGGCGGUUGCCUCCCAAAGAGUAACGGAGGCGCCCAAAGGUUCCCUCAGCCUGGUUGGCAAUCAGGUGUUGAGUGUAAGUGCACAAGGGAGCUUGACUGUGAGACCGACGGGUCGAGCAGGGACGAAAGUCGGGACUAGUGAUCCGGCACCACCUGGUGGAAGGGGUGUCGCUCAACGGAUAAAAGGUACCCCGGGGAUAACAGGCUGAUCUUGCCCAAGAGUCCAUAUCGACGGCAUGGUUUGGCACCUCGAUGUCGGCUCGUCGCAUCCUGGGGCUGGAGUAGGUCCCAAGGGUUGGGCUGUUCGCCCAUUAAAGCGGUACGCGAGCUGGGUUUAGAACGUCGUGAGACAGUUCGGUCCCUAUCCGCCGCGCGCGUUGGAGAUUUGAGGAAGGCUGUCCCUAGUACGAGAGGACCGGGAUGGACGAACCUCUGGUGUGCCAGUUGUCCUGCCAAGGGCACGGCUGGUUGGCUACGUUCGGAAGGGAUAACCGCUGAAGGCAUCUAAGCGGGAAGCUCGUUCCAAGAUGAGAUCUCCCACCACCUUGAGUGGUUAAGGCUCCCAGUAGACCACUGGGUUGAUAGGCCAGAGAUGGAAGCUCCGCAAGGGGUGGAGUUGACUGGUACUAAUAGGCCGAGGGCUUACCUUA